rnacentral:SRP_RNA from 1 species
GCCGAGCUCAGUAACGUGGGCUUAUAACUCAAGUAGGGGCAUUAAUGUGGUGGAAUAUUGGUGGCUAAUAUCUGGCCUGCCCUAUCCAAGCACAGAGUUGGGUCACGCGGCCCAGACAAAGGUAUGGGUUGCUUGGCUCCUAGAGUGGGGCGAACUGCGUGAGGCUGGUUCCACAGAGCGGUUACGCUUAGCUCCCGCUCUGUGCAGUGGAAGGAUAACGGGCCUGUGUCGUCUAAGCCCAAAAUUGCCUGAUGGGCUGCUCUAAUUAAACCACCACUUUU